rnacentral:lncRNA from 1 species
AAGACAGGACCACAAGCUGUGGGUCCAGGAACAUUAGAGGAGCUGAGCAGACACUGGGGCCCUUGUCCUGGGGCAGCGGAGGAGGCCUCGGGCCAGAUGGAGAACAGCCGGCCUCUUCCUCCCACACCCCCGUCCAGCUCCCGGGCCUUCAUGAGAAGAACAGAGACUUCCCUGCAAGGCCUGGUGAAGUGCGGCCUGACCCCAGCCAGACACGGGAGCUGUAAGAUCUUCAGGGAGCUGGGACGCGGAGGCACAGGCUGCCUUGCCAGACUUCAGGCCUGAGGAGUUGGUGAACCCUUCUCAGCAACGGGCUCUCUGGCUACAGAAAACAACCCCAACUUUGGACUAUGGGGCUAAGAGUCUUGGGGGGAAGGGGGGCUGCAAUGUGUGCUGGCCGCUCAAGGAAGUGCCGAGCGCACAGGGAUCCUGUGAGCAUACACCCUCUUGGAAUUGGGGUUCUGGUGCAGAUCCGGGCCACUCCCCUAAAUUACAUGCAGUUUUACUGUGUGCCGUGA